CCUACGGGAGGCUGCAGUGGGGAAUAUUGGACAAUGGGCGAAAGCCUGAUCCAGCCAUGCCGCGUGUGUGAAGAAGGCCUUCGGGUUGUAAAGCACUUUCAGUGGGGAAGAAAGCCUUGGGGCUAAUACCCUCGAGGAAGGACAUCACCCACAGAAGAAGCACCGGCUAACUCCGUGCCAGCAGCCGCAGGUAAUACGGAGGGUGCGAGCGUUAAUCGGAAUUACUGGGCGUAAAGCGCGCGUAGGCGGUCUGAUAAGCCGGUUGUGAAAGCCCCGGGCUCAACCUGGGAACGGCAUCCGGAACUGUCAGGCUAGAGUGCAGGAGAGGAAGGUAGAAUUCCCGGUGUAGCGGUGAAAUGCGUAGAGAUCGGGAGGAAUACCAGUGGCGAAGGCGGCCUUCUGGACUGACACUGACGCUGAGGUGCGAAAGCGUGGGUAGCAAACAGGAUUAGAUACCCCAGUAGUC
rnacentral:rRNA from 1 species